rnacentral:misc_RNA from 1 species
GAUGAAGAACGUAGCGAAAUGCGAUACGUAAUGUGAAUUGCAGAAUUCAGUGAAUCAUCGAGUCUUUGAACGCACAUUGCGCCCGCCAGUAUUCUGGCGGGCACGCCUGUUCGAGCGUCAUUACAACCCUCAGGCCCCCGGGCCUGGCGUUGGGGAUCGGCGGAGCCCCCCGUGGGCACACGCCGUCCCCCAAAUGCAGUGGCGGUCCCGCCGCAGCUUCCAUCGCGUAGUAGCUAACACCUCGCGACUGGAGAGCGGCGCGGCCACGCCGUAAAACACCCAACUCUUCUGAAGUUGACCUCGAAUCAGGUAGGAAUACCCGCUGAACUUAAGCAUAUCAAUAAGCGGAGGA